AUGGGGUCAUAUAAGGUUGUCUUUUAUACAAAAGGGUCAUUCAUAAAGGAUGAAGAGUUAAAAUACAAAGGGGGUGAUGUUUACGUUGUAUGUGGAGGCAAGAUUAGUGGUGAGAAGACUUAUAUGGAGAGGUUAAAAGAGAAAGAAAAAGGUCACGUUAAUGUUGAGGAAAAUGAAGAUGGCGAGGACAAUGAAUCAUCUGAAGACUCAUUGAAUGGAAUACACUUUUAA